GAUGAACGCUGGCGGCGUGCCUAAUACAUGCAAGUCGAGCGAACAGACGAGGAGCUUGCUCCUCUGACGUUAGCGGCGGACGGGUGAGUAACACGUGGAUAACCUACCUAUAAGACUGGGAUAACUUCGGGAAACCGGAGCUAAUACCGGAUAAUAUAUUGAACCGCAUGGUUCAAUAGUGAAAGACGGUUUUGCUGUCACUUAUUGAUGGAUCCGCGCCGCAUUAGCUAGUUGGUAAGGUAACGGCUUACCAAGGCGACGAUGCGUAGCCGACCUGAGAGGGUGAUCGGCCACACUGGAACUGAGACACGGUCCAGACUCCUACGGGAGGCAGCAGUAGGGAAUCUUCCGCAAUGGGCGAAAGCUUGACGGAGCAACGCCGCGUGAGUGAUGAAGGUCUUCGGAUCGUAAAACUCUGUUAUUAGGGAAGAACAAAUGUGUAAGUAACUAUGCACGUCUUGACGGUACCUAAUCAGAAAGCCACGGCUAACUACGUG
rnacentral:rRNA from 1 species